GACGAACGCUGGCGGCGUGCUUAACACAUGCAAGUCGAACGGAAAGGCCCUGCUUUUGUGGGGUGCUCGAUUGGCGAACGGGUGAGUAACACGUGAGUAACCUGCCCUUGACUUUGGGAUAACUUCAGGAAACUGGGGCUAAUACCGGAUAGGAGCUCCUGCUGCAUGGUGGGGGUUGGAAAGUUUCGGCGGUUGGGGAUGGACUCGCGGCUUAUCAGCUUGUUGGUGGGGUAGUGGCUUACCAAGGCUUUGACGGGUAGCCGGCCUGAGAGGGUGACCGGCCACAUUGGGACUGAGAUACGGACCAGACUCGUACGGGAGGCAGUGGUGGGGAAUAUUGCACAAUGGGCGGAAGCCUGAUGCAGCAGCGCCGCGUGCGGGAUGCCGGCCUACGGGUUGUAAACCGCUUUCGCCUGUGACGAAGCGUGAGUGACGGUAAUGAGUAAAGAAGCACCGGCUAACUACGUG
rnacentral:rRNA from 1 species